UCUCCAGUGGCUCAAUGGUAAAGAAUCUGCCUGUAAUGCAGGAGAUACAGGUUCGAUCCCUGGGUGGGAAA
rnacentral:tRNA from 1 species